CGGACGGGUGAGUAAUGUCUGGGAAACUGCCCGAUGGAGGGGGAUAACUACUGGAAACGGUAGCUAAUACCGCAUAACGUCGCAAGACCAAAGAGGGGGACCUUCGGGCCUCUUGCCAUCGGAUGUGCCCAGAUGGGAUUAGCUAGUAGGUGGGGUAACGGCUCACCUAGGCGACGAUCCCUAGCUGGUCUGAGAGGAUGACCAGCCACACUGGAACUGAGGCACGGUCCAG
rnacentral:rRNA from 1 species